UCAUGUGGCAUUGACUCACAGAUUCAGAAGGGACGUGUCCCCCUCUGUGUCUGCGUGGGGGCCGUGGCCUGACGUGGGUCACGUGACGUAAAGGCGAGCCGUUCGUUGGAAGAGUGGACAGACACUCCCACGAUGCAGAGUUGACACCGAAGUCAUCGUCAGAGAAUUCCAGAGACUCCACGAUUCUGGACUGCCUGAUGGGCGCUUUGAAUGGAAGAGAAAGGAACUGAAACUUGCUCCGAGAUGGAUGACAGAGGAGGGCUGAGUCUCUCUGCUGCUGAGCAGGACAUGGGACACAACUCGCGGCACAGAGACACCAUGGAGUCCACCACCACCUGGACAGAGUUGACCAAGCCUUGGCCAGUUCUCCAGCCAGCGUGUCCAGGCGCUGUUUGACGGGCCCGUCGACCGACAGCACGUGGGCCAGCUCACACAGAGAGGGAUACAGCUGGCAAACACACACACCGCGGGGCACGUUAGUCAAUCAAACUAUCAAACAAUCACAGCACUGUAAGUGCAGAAACUCUCACCGCUCUGGAGUUUCGGGCUUCUUUGAGGACCUGUCUGGCCGUCUGGACCUCCUCUCCUUGCUCGCAGCCUUUGAGGACACACACCUGCUGCUGCACCCGCACACACAGACGCUCCAUCAACUACACACACACACACGACAUGGAUGCAAACGGUGAGUCACACGUAUGAGACACUUGGUCCAGUCAUUAAAUGACACGUGCACCUGCUCGGCCGUGCUGGUGACGAGGCCCUGGUGCAGCCUCAGGGCCUGUUUCUGAGAGAAACGCUGGGUCUGGUUGUUCCUGAGCAGCGCACGCUGGAUCUGUAACAGGCAAACCACACACGACGCACAAAGACGCACAGGUGAGACCAGUCCACAUACACGGUAAUAGAGUGGAGA